AUUGAACGCUGGCGGCAGGCUUAACACAUGCAAGUCGAGCGGUAACAGAGAGAAGCUUGCUUCUCUGCUGACGAGCGGCGGACGGGUGAGUAAUGCCUAGGAAUCUGCCUAGUAGUGGGGGAUAACUUGCCGAAAGGUAAGCUAAUACCGCAUACGUCCUACGGGAGAAAGGAGGGGACCUUCGGGCCUUUCGCUAUUAGAUGAGCCUAGGUCGGAUUAGUUAGUUGGUGAGGUAAUGGCUCACCAAGACCGCGAUCCGUAACUGGUCUGAGGGGAUGAUCAGUCACACUGGAACUGAGACACGGUCCAGACGCCUACGGGAGGCAGCAGUGGGGAAGAUUGGACAAUGGGGGGAACCCUGAUCCAGCCAUGCCGCGUGUGUGAAGAAGGUCUUAGGAUUGUAAAGCACUUUAAGUUGGGAGGAAGAGCAGUUAACUAAUAUUUGACUGUUUUGACGUUACCGACAGAAUAAGCACCGGCUAACUUCGUGCCAGCAGCCGCCGCGG
rnacentral:rRNA from 1 species